UCAAGCGUAGUAAGGGCGUACGGUGGAUGCCUAGGCGCCAAGAGGCGAAGAAGGGCGUGGCAAGCUGCGAAAAGCCACGGGGAGCUGCAAGCGAGCGAAGAUCCGUGGAUACCCGAAUGGGGGAACCCGGUACCUGGGAACAGGUAUCAUCCCUACCUGAACACAUAGGGUAGGAGAGGCGAGACCCGGCGAACUGAAACAUCUUAGUAGCCGGAGGAGAAGAAAGCAAGAGCGAUUCCCUUAGUAGCGGCGAGCGAAAGGGGAAGAGCCUAAACCGUGCAGGUGUUAAAGGCUGCAGUCGUUGCCUGUACGGGGUAGAGGGGAUGUUCGAGGUAGAGCUGCAGAUUUACCGGAGCCGAAGGCUGUUUAGGAGAACGAGGCUGGAAAGCCUGACCGCAGAGGGUGAAAGUCCCGUAUUCGGAAAGCAGUUGUAGGUUCUAGAGCAUACCCCGAGUACCGCUGGACACGUGGUAUCCGGUGGGAAUCAGGGAGGACCACCUCCUAAGGCUAAAUACUACCUAGCGACCGAUAGCGCAUAGUACCGUGAGGGAAAGGUGAAAAGCACCCCGGGAGGGGAGUGAAAUAGAACCUGAAACCGUAUGCCUACAAGCAGUCAGAGUCCGGCACUCAACUCAGUGCUCAUUUAUGGAUUAAGAAGGAGUUAUUGACCCGGGAGGGGGAGUAACGGAAAAGAGUGAGGUGUGCAUUGAGUUGAGUGCCGGAUGAUGGCGUACUUUUUGUAGAACGGGCCGGCGAGUUACGGUAGCAAGCGAGGUUAAGCCUGAUUAAGGGUGGAGCCGAAGCGAAAGCGAGUCUGAAGAGGGCGAAUAGUUUGCUGCUGUAGACCCGAAACCGGGUGAUCUACCCAUGUCCAGGGUGAAGCGGUGGUAAAGCAUCGUGGAGGCCCGAACCAGAUGGCGUUGAAAAGCCAGUGGAUGAGGUGUGGGUAGGGGUGAAAUGCCAAUCGAACCCGGAGAUAGCUGGUUCUCCCCGAAAUAGCUUUAGGGCUAGCCUCAGGGGUUUCUUAGCGGAGGUAGAGCACUGGUUGGGCUAGGGGCCUUACCCGGUUACCGAACCUUCCCAAACUGCGAAUGCCGUUAAGUGAACCCUGGGAGUCAGACUAUGGGUGAUAAGGUUCAUAGUCGAGAGGGAAACAGCCCAGACCGCCAGUUAAGGUCCCAAAUCCAGGCUAAGUGGGAAAGGAAGUGGGGUUGCGAAGACAGCCAGGAUGUUGGCUUAGAAGCAGCCAUCAUUCAAAGAGUGCGUAAUAGCUCACUGGUCAAGUGACCCUGCGCCGAAAAUGUAACGGGGCUCAAGUCUGGAACCGAAGCUGCGGAUAUGGAGGUUGGAGGCCAGAGGUAGGAAGUAGGAAGAGGGGCUAAAGAGACCUGGAGGACAGAGCAUAUGGCUAUUAGAGGAUAUGAAGACCUAUGAAUGAUCCGACUUCCGACUUCCGGCCUCCAACUUCCAUGUGGUAGGGGAGCGUUCUUACUGGGCAGAAGCCAUACCGUAAGGAAUGGUGGACUGGUAAGAAGAGAGAAUGCCGGCAUGAGUAAGCGAGAAGGCAGGUGAGAAUCCUGUCCGCCGAAAGCCUAAGGUUUCCUGGGGAAGGCUCGUCCACCCAGGGUAAGCCGGGACCUAAGCCGAGGCCGAAAGGCGUAGGUGAUGGAGAAUCGGUUGAGAAUCCGAUGCCACCUUCAGACCGAUUGAGCGAAGGGGUGACGCAGGAGGGUAGGCGAAGCGCACGGAUGGAAAAGUGCGUCCAAGCCCGUAGGGUGCAAGGCAGGCAAAUCCGCCUUGCGGAGAGCCUGAGGGGUGACGGGGAGCGAAUAUUAGUAGCGAAGUCGCUGAACCCAAACUGCCAAGAAAAGCCUCUAGCGAGGUUUGGGGUGCCCGUACCGCAAACCGACACAGGUAGGCGAGGAGAGAAUCCUAAGGCGCGCGAGAGAACCCUCGUUAAGGAACUCGGCAAAAUGGCCCCGUAACUUCGGGAGAAGGGGUACCCCGAUAGUGUAGCCGUAAUAUACUUAUGGUGGCACGAGGGGGUCGCAGUGACCAGGCCCAGGCGACUGUUUACCAAAAACACAGGUCUCUGCAAAAUCGAAAGAUGAAGUAUAGAGGCUGACGCCUGCCCGGUGCCGGAAGGUUAAGGGGAAGGGUUAUCCGGCACUCAAUGGAAGCGUUCGGGACAGGCCAGAAGAUGGCUUAGGGAGCGCAUACGGGAGAGCGUGAAGUAGAGACCAUUGAGUGCCGGAGAAGCUCUGAACCGAAGCCCCGGUGAACGGCGGCCGUAACUAUAACGGUCCUAAGGUAGCGAAAUUCCUUGUCGGGUAAGUUCCGACCCGCACGAAAGGCGUAACGAUCUGGGCGCUGUCUCGACGAGGGGCUCGGUGAAAUUGUAAUACCGGUGAAGAUGCCGGUUACCUGCGACAGGACAGCAAGACCCCGUGGAGCUUUACUGUAGCCUGAUAUUGGAUUUUGGCAGGUCAUGUACAGGAUAGGUGGGAGGCUGGGAAGCAGGGCCGCCAGGUUCUGUGGAGCCGUUGGUGGGAUACCACUCUUGGCUUGCUGGAGUUCUAACCUGCCCCCGUGAGCCGGGGGAGGGACAGUGUCAGGUGGGCAGUUUGACUGGGGCGGUCGCCUCCUAAAGGGUAACGGAGGCGCCCAAAGGUUUCCUCAGCGCGGAUGGAAAUCGCGCGUAGAGUGCAAAGGCAGAAGGGAGCUUGACUGCGAGAGGGACGCUUCGAGCAGGGACGAAAGUCGGGCUUAGUGAUCCGGCGGUACCGAGUGGAAGGGCCGUCGCUCAACGGACAAAAGCUACCCCGGGGAUAACAGGCUUAUCUCCCCCAAGAGUCCACAUCGACGGGGAGGUUUGGCACCUCGAUGUCGGCUCAUCGCAUCCUGGGGCUGGAGAAGGUCCCAAGGGUUGGGCUGUUCGCCCAUUAAAGCGGUACGUGAGCUGGGUUCAGAACGUCGUGAGACAGUUCGGUCCCUAUCCGUCGCAGGCGCAGGAGAAUUGAGGGGAGCUGUCCCUAGUACGAGAGGACCGGGAUGGACAGACCGCUGGUGUACCAGUUGUUCCGCCAGGGGCACAGCUGGGUAGCUAUGUCUGGAACGGAUAAGCGCUGAAAGCAUCUAAGCGCGAAGCCGACCCCAAGAUGAGUUCUCCCACCCGGCACUCAGUGAGGUACUUGUUAAGAGAGAGUUAGGAAACGAAGGAGAAGAAACGGGCAAUGGCGAAAGGAAGCAGGUAUCUGACUGAGUGCCGGGGUAAGACCCCAGCAAGACUAGCUGGUAGAUAGGCCGGGGGUGUAAGCACAGCAAUGUGUUGAGCCGACCGGUACUAAUAGGUCGAGGGCUUGACCUA
rnacentral:rRNA from 1 species